AGAGUUUGAUCAUGGCUCAGAUUGAACGCUGGCGGCAUGCCUUACACAUGCAAGUCGAACGGCAGCACGGGAGCAAUCCUGGUGGCGAGUGGCGAACGGGUGAGUAAUAUAUCGGAACAUACCCUAGAGUGGGGGAUAACGUAGCGAAAGUUACGCUAAUACCGCAUACGAUCUACGGAUGAAAGUGGGGGCUCGCAAGACCUCAUGCUCAUGGAGUGGCCGAUAUCUGAUUAGCUAGUUGGCGGGGUAAAAGCCCACCAAGGCGACGAUCAGUAGCUGGUCUGAGAGGACGACCAGCCACACUGGGACUGAGACACGGCCCAGACUCCUACGGGAGGCAGCAGUGGGGAAUUUUGGACAAUGGGCGCAAGCCUGAUCCAGCAAUGCCGCGUGUGUGAAGAAGGCCUUCGGGUUGUAAAGCACUUUUGUCAGGGAAGAAACGGUCUGGGCUAAUACCCUGGGCUAAUGACGGUACCUGAAGAAUAAGCACCGGCUAACUACGUGCCAGCAGCCGCGGUAAUACGUAGGGUGCAAGCGUUAAUCGGAAUUACUGGGCGUAAAGCGUGCGCAGGCGGUUAUAUAAGUCAGAUGUGAAAUCCCCGGGCUCAACCUGGGCACUGCAUUUGAGACUGUAUGGCUAGAGUGUGUCAGAGGGGGGUAGAAUUCCACGUAGCAGUGAAAUGCGUAGAUAUGUGGAGGAAUACCGAUGGCGAAGGCAGCCCCCUGGGAUAACACUGACGCUCAUGCACGAAAGCGUGGGGAGCAAACAGGAUUAGAUACCCUAGUAGUCC
rnacentral:rRNA from 1 species